rnacentral:lncRNA from 1 species
CUGUGAUGUGGGGCUGGAUACAGGCUGUUUCUGUGAUGUGGGGCCGGGGCCAGCUGGAUACAGGCUGUUUCUGUGAUGUGGGGCUGGAUACAGGCUGUGUUUCUGUGAUGUGGGGCUGGAUACAGGCUGUUUCUGUGAUGUGGGGCUGGAUACAGGCUGUGUUUCUGUGAUGUGGGGCUGGAUACAGGCUGUUUCUGUGAUGUGGGGCUGGAUACAGGCUGUUUCUGUGAUGUAGGGCUGGAUACAGGCUGUUUCUGUGAUGUGGGGCUGGAUACAGGCUGUUUCUGUGAUGUGGGGCUGGAUCCAGGCUGUUUCUGUGCUGUAGGGCUGAAUACAGGCUGUUUCUGUGAUGUGGGGCUGGAUACAGGCUGUUUCUGUGAUGUGGGGCUGGAUACAGGCUCUGUUUCUGUGAUGUGGGGCUGGAUACAGGCUGUUUCUGUGAUGUGGGGCUGAAUACAGGCUGUUUCUGUGAUGUGGGGCUGGAUACAGGCUGUUUCUGUGAUGUGGGGCUGGAUACAGGCUGUUUCUGUGAUGUGGGGCUGGAUACAGGCUGUUUCUGUGAUGUAGGGCUGAAUACAGGCUGUUUCUGUGAUGUGGGGCUGAAUACAGGCUGUUUCUGUAAUGUGGGGCUGGAUACAGGCUGUUUCUGUGAUGUGGGGCUGGAUACAG